CCCCGGUCUCCAGGGCAGCGCUGGGAGACGCAGGGCGGGACAAGGAGGCGCUAGCACUGAGGAUGCGGGGCCUCCAGGGUCGCGGCAGCCAGGAACGCCCGGCAGGCAAAUGCUUUUGUGAACCACAACUUUAAAUAUCCAGUCAGCUGCUGUCAUCCACAAGAGAGAAUCCCUGUUCAUUUUUAUAUUUUUCUCAAGAUGAGUCAUAGUAAAUUCAUUCCCAAGCUGUCUAUUCAAUCUCCUGUCCACACCAACUUAAAGGUCCAGUCCACAAAGCCAUCAUUUAAGAAGGAAGACUUACAUUUGAUUUCAAAAGACUCUUUGGAAUCUGACUCAGAAAGCCCCACUCAAAAGAUCAAGUCCUGGUCUGAGCUUGAAGAUCAAAUUCAGGACAAUGACAUGGAGCCUGACAGCCUAGAGGAGGAGAACUUGAGUGAGACGGAAGAGGAAGCAAGCAGAAAAGCAGCGCAGAGGGCCUGCGAGGAAAACCUCCACACCCAAGAUGCUGGUGCAAUUAAUAGCCAACAACCCACAGAAGACAAAUACUCACACCUCCGAUAUGAUCCAAACUGGAAGAGUAAGAAAGAGGAGGGGAAGCUGUUGCCUGUAGAUGCAUUGCCGGAGUCUGUGGACAGCUCUACAGAAAAUCUGACUCUGAACCCACUCUACCCUUCCAAGGAGCCCUCGAUGGACCUCUCAGCGGGGAAAGGUGAACAGAAGAGGCCACGGAGCACAGCCUCCUUACUUGGGAGUGAAUUCGUAAGCCCGAACUACGAGCCGAGCACCCACCGCCCCGAGCCGUUUUCCGUGCUGAGCGACAGCGACCCUGAGGAGAAGUCCAGCACCCUCUCUCAGUACUUGAAGAGUUCAAGUUCACGCAGCGAGGCAUUCCUGCCAGGAUCACGCGGCCCUCGGCGAAGGAAGUCCAAACAAUAUUUUGUGGAAAAGAACAAGCUGACUUUGGGAUUACCCACUCCAAGAAUGGACUCUUAUCUUCAACUUCACAAUAAAAAAAGGGGGGAAGGUCACCUGGAACAGAUCUCCUACCCUGUCAGAGUAACUGACAAGACGUCUAUUCAGAACGCCAGAGAGACUGGAAAUGUCGCUAUUGACCCUGAAGACAAAUGGCAUCAAAGAGCCCAACAGCUAAAGGAUUACCAGGAACAGUGGUCUCAAUACGAAAAUGCAAAGUCAAGCAAUGGACCCAGAGAUCAGUCUUCGGAAACAACCAAUGGCCAGCAACCUUCCAGAAGACCAGCCAAGCACAAGAUUCGAAAACAGCGCAAAUACCGGCAGGGCCCAAAGUCUUCAGUGACCGAAGAGAUGGUUGUCAGUCAAGGAAACCAGAAUAACACUCCCAGACAUCAGCAAAACCCAAAUAAGCCUACUGAUACUGAAGUAACACAGGAAACAGGUGUGAUUAUGAAUGCCACGAACGAUGAUUUACAAUACUCAAGUGUACUGAGAAGCCAGGAUCCCAAAGUAACCCCCAAUCAAUCUGCCGCACCACACCAGGUUUCGGACAAAGUAUUAUAUAAAAAUGCUGCCGGAUAUUACCCGGUGAUGAACACUAAUAGAGAAAGAGGACACAAUGACCAAGAAGAGAAAAGGUUUUCCUACCAGCAGCUACAUAUCGACAAUCUAUCCAAUAUGCACUUGAAGUACCUUCAUGAACUUACCAAGAAACACGCAUCCCAUAGCCAGAAAGGCUCUCAGUCUAACAUAAACAUUCAAGCAUCAACCAAGAAGAAGCAGCAACCCAAACUGGCUUACACAGAAACAAAGUAUAAGAACUUAGAGAUAUUAUGGAAAUUCCAUUCUUCCUCUGAGGAACAACCUGCUAAGGCUUCCCCAGAUUCCCGACUCUCCCAGAUAAUGGAGCAGCAUCAGCAAGCCCUGCUGCAGCUGACAGAGGUGCAGCCACACGAAGGGGCCUCACCUGGCCUCACCCUUCCACCCAUACUGUCAAGGGUGGAGAGUGAGUCCCAACUCAGUUCAGAGAGAAGCCAAAGAAACCAAGUGAAAAUCAGCCGCAGCAAUUCUGAAAGCUAUCUGUUUCAACUGGAAAAGGGGAAAAAGCAUAGGAAAAGAAGCAGCAUUAAGAGCUCCAAGCUGAAAGGUUAUCAGAACAGAGAUGUGAAACUUGGAGGCCUCGGACCUGACCUUGAGUCCAUCAGAGACAAAAUGCAGAAGUUAAUACAGCAAAAGGAAUAUGCUAAACAAGUGAAGGAAUACAACAUGAAGGCACUCUCCAUCCCCCCAAAGCCACAAACAGCAAUAACUGAAAAUAAACCUGCUGUCCCGCGGCAGAAGGUGGCAUAAGGACUAGCUUUGGAGAUUUAUUCCUAUGUUGUAUACAUCUACAUAUACCACAACAUGGUAGAAAGGCUACCUGUACAAAAUUUAAUCUCCUACUGGAAACAGAAUUGAAGGUCUGGAAAGAUAACAAGUAUCUGAAGAUAAACAGUAAGUUGGAGCAUCCUGGUUCAGUAGUAUUGAGGAAAUCAGAGCAUAUAUGAGGAGUUAGUUCAGGAAAAUCAUAGCCCAAGCUGCUCCUAAAAUGUAUUUAUAAAAGAAGUGGACCCUUUAGGUUACAUGUUCAAAGAUUUUUCUAAAAACAUGAGCUAGAAUGAUUUUUUUCCCUAAAUGGCCUUAAAUUUAAACUUGCUCUGGAAGAUAAAGGGAAUAAUGCAUAUAAGACAUUUCCAUAUUUCCAUAUGUAAAGGGACAGGGUAAGUUAUUUAAAUGUUACGUUUCUAUUAACUUAUCUUAAAGGAAUUUAGAGCUUGGAAGGGGUUUAUCUUGUUCAAGUGUCAAUUUUUCAGAAGAGGCAAUGAUGAUCAAGAAAGGGUGUGACUCUGAAUCCCUUCAGUCCUACAGUGGGAGAGCAGGAAGGUCUAAACUCCAGUCUUUGAACAGUGCUGUUGGAUUGACUGAUUGUGAUAUUUAGGAAAUAAAAAGAACCUGCCUAUCAGAGGGCACGAAACUAUAAACCUGAGUGAUAAAAUGAUGGAGGCCCUGGAUUUGACCAGAUGUUAGAUAAGCCAUUGAAAGACAUAGUGCCUAAUCUGCCUAAUCUCUAUGAGCUGGUAUAAAUAAAGGACCUUUAAAUCAUGUAUGCUCUCUUAUUGUAGCUCCUUUUGUGACGUUUUUUCUUCUUGAGUUUCCAACAAGAGCAUCCUCCUAGAGGGAGCUUUUGGACAAGUAGCUGAAUUUAAUGACAGCUGUCUUCAUGAUAUUGUUCUGUAUGGUAAGGAGUCUCCUGGGGGUUAUCUAGAAACCAACUCAAGAAAAGACAAUAUUGAGGAAUAAAAUAAAAGGUAAGCGUAGCAAAAGCACCAAAGUCUAAUGGUUCCAAUCGGGGCCUUAUUAUUGGUUAAUGAAUCAUUGUCAAAACAUCGCAGCAAACAUGAGCAUGCACAGCCUACUCUAUAGUGAGAAAAUGACUCUUCAUCCCAACAGUUAUUAGCUGGGAGUUGUUUGAAAACACAUCCAGUAAUUAGAACAACACUGGAGCUAAUUGAGAACUUUGAGUUGAUAGCAAAUGGUCUAUAAUAUCAGACAGGAUAAAUUCAGGGGGGAUUCUUUUUUAAUUACUGAUUGAAAAAUUGCAUAAAAAAUGAAUUGAAUUUGGGUGACAGUCUGCACAUAUCAGGACAAGUUUAACUAAUUCUCUCCAAGAUGUGCUUCCAAACAUAUAUUAUCAUUAGAUUAGA